rnacentral:misc_RNA from 1 species
GAUGAAGAACGUAGCGAAAUGCGAUAAGUAAUGUGAAUUGCAGAAUUCAGUGAAUCAUCGAAUCUUUGAACGCAAAUUGCGCCCCUUGGUAUUCCGGGGGGCAUGCCUGUUCGAGCGUCAUUAUAACCCCUCAAGCUCAGCUUGGUGUUGGGGCCUGCCGACUGGCAGCCCUUAAAAUCAGUGGCGGCGCCAUCUGGCUCUAAGCGUAGUAAUUUCUCUCGCUAUAGAGUCCCGGUGGAUGCUUGCCAGCAACCCCCAACUUUCUAUGGUUGACCUCGGAUCAGGUAGGGAUACCCGCUGAACUUAAGCAUAUCAAUAAGCGGAGGA